rnacentral:lncRNA from 1 species
AAUUUAUUGUCCUCACCCAUCAUCAUACCUGCCAACUUUCACGAUUUAGGCGUGUACUACACGAUUUUGACCCUUUGUCACGAUUGCACGAUCGUGUUCCUGAAAAACCCUCUAAAACACGAUUUGGUGAAAAUCUACACGAAAAAUAUUGUUGUUCCCGAUUUUGAACUGUGUCCAAUGGAGGAAAAUCGUGUUCAGCCAAUCAAAUUGUGUGUUUCUCAUGAUCAAAUUAAUCAGCCAAUCAAAAACGUUUUCUCUCAAGAUUGUUUUAACAUGCUAGAUAUUGAACUUGUGUUGUAUUCCUCUGU